rnacentral:piRNA from 1 species
UCCAAUCUUUUGAAAAAACCCGGAAG